rnacentral:lncRNA from 1 species
UCCCGGAGACGGGGACAUUUGAGCUGAGAUGCAAAAGAUGGUAGACACACAAAGAGCAGAGAAGGGUAUGCCAGGAAGAGGGAGCAAGCCAAGACCCUCCAGCUAGUGGAGAGUUGGGGCCUGCAGGAACUGAAAGGCAGGAGGGCAGAAGGGCAGAGGUGCAGGAGGGCAGAAGGGCAGAGGUGCAAGCAGGGGCCACCUCCUGGAUGAGUUUAGAGACCAUGGUGAAGCCAAGUUAAAAGACAGACAUUAUAGAAAUAUGAUUGGACAAAGCAGGAUUUAAAAUGCUGUUUAAACAAUGCUAUUUUCUGUUGUGUCUGCUGUAUUCUAUAUUACAUUGCAUUUAACUAUAAAGAUAUUUUAGAGAGCAGGGGAGUGGAGGAGCCAAGAUGGCCGAAUAGGAACAGCUCUGGUCUACAGCUCCCAGCGUAAGCGACGCAGAAGACAGGUGAUUUCUGCAUUUCCAUCUGAGGAUCCUACAGGACAUUCAAUCAUCACGUCUCCUUAGGCCCCUCUCAACUGUGGCAGUUUCUCAGACUUCGUUGUUUUUGCUCUUUCUCUUUCACGUGGGGAGAGUGUGGAACGGCUCAGUUUCUCCAGCAAGGAAUCCUCCUGUCCUGUCUAAAAGGCAACCUGCAUCCUAGGAGCAAAGAGAGGGAAAAGCACUGAGGAGUACGGCCAUGCCAUAGGCAGAUUUGCAAUUAAUUCUCUCGCUUGCAGCCCUAUGACUAAUUCUGGGCCAGGCCGUGCAUAUUGUCUCCAAAUCCUGAGGCUCUUGCCUCCCAUUCUCCAAAGAAUAAUCAGCCUCCUGCCUGGGGGGGUGAUUACACAGCUGCUAGGGUUCUAUGCCUGAGCCGUAAGUGAGGUACACAGACUGUUUCCCAUGUUAACAUAUUCUUCAGUUUAUUCCCACACUCUCUGCUGUACUGGAUUCCUCAGUUUCGGAGCUUCUCCAGGAGUCUACAGGACUAACUUAUUGUCUCCUUGUUAGUACCAACUUCUUGCUUGUCCUUUAAGAUAUGAUAUCCUCAAUCUGGUUAUAUCAGACACCUUUCCUACAUUCCUUUCCUGUCUUUUGAAAUAUGAUUGAAAUAUUUCAUCAAUUAAUGUCUUCUCUCCUAUUCUCUUUGUACUUGCAAGCUUAAGCCUCUUUUAUCUUUUCAAAUAUUUUAGCAGGCUCUCUGAAAGGAGAGGCUAUAAACUUCUAUGUCUAUUCUUCUAUCUUUAAAUUCAACAAGAGGCAGAACACUUUCAUGGUUAAGUUAGGCCUGCAUUUAAAUCCUGCCUCUGUCACAUACUUUUCUAAGACUUAGAAAUUUGCUAACCUCUGGAAACCUUGACCUCCUUUCUGUAAAAUGAGAACCUACCUCAUUGGGUUGUUGUGAGGAUCAAAUAAAAUAUGUAUGGUUGGCACGUA